ACUCUGGGCGCCGGACGUUAUUUAGGGACGUGUUUUGACCGAUGCAGGGCGCUUGUUUUCUAACAGGGCGGUUCGGGGGCACAGAGUAUAAAUCUCCUUCAGAAAUCGCAGUGAGGACUUACGGUCAGUGCAGAGCAGGGCGGUCCGGUGUAACGGAGGGAGCAGCUGGUCUUUCUUGAGAUGGCGCUGUCGACGCUGACAGGAGCGCAGAUCACAACAACGGGAGCACGGGCGUUGGACGGACCUCACCUGCGGGGGUAUUUAUAACCUCCAUGCCCGAGGAGUGCGCGUGGUCAGGUGGCUGUGAGCUAGGGCCGUCUGACAGGACUACUGAAGGAGGAGGAACGCUUUACGGUCCAGAGAGGAUCUGUGAGGAAUGUGUGGCGCGAAGGACGGUUUGAGCAGACUCACUUAAACACUUAUGUUCUCAACACGUAAUACUUUUAAAAUGUAUCCAGUUACAGAAUACAGAAUACAUGCCCAGAAAUGUAAGAUGUAGCCUAAUUCCGUUACAUCACUCAAUCUGAUGAUUGUAUUCUGAAUAUCCUUGGAUUACUUCCACAUUGAAUUGCAUUUUAUAAGUGUAGGAAUGCAGCAUUAAAUCCUGCUUACUAAA